GUAGGACGCAAGCGUUAUCCGGAGUUACUGGGCGUAAAGCGCGGGCAGGCGGUCUGACAAGUCUGAUGUGAAAUCACCCGGCUUAACCGGGCGAGGCCAUUGGAAACUGACAGGCUGGAGGGCAGUAGAGGCAGGCGGAAUUCCGGGUGGAGUGGUGAAAUGCGUAGAGAUCCGGAGGAACACCAGAGGCGAAGGCGGCCUGCUGGGCUGCACCUGACGCUGAGCCGCGAAAGCCAGGGGAGCGAACGGGAUUAGAAACCCCGGUAGUCCUGGCCGUAAACGAUGUGUGCUGGAUGGCGGGGGGUUACACCCGCGCUGUCGAAGCCAACGCGAUAAGCACACCGCCUGGGGAGUACGGUCGCAAGGCUAAA
rnacentral:rRNA from 1 species